AGCCAUCUCAGGAGGUGGCUUUGCAUCACAGCAGUUACCCUUUACCAGGUUGUUAUCCCUUGACAGCAUCAGAAGAGGCUGCUUCCUUAUAAGCAGUCCAAACACUUUGCCUUCUUAUUGCCUUUCAUCACCUGUUUCCACGAGGCUUUAAAAAAAAAAAUGUCCAGUACACGCACAGAUAUUUUUAGUUAACCUUUCGACAUGCGCCCCUUUCAGGAUGACUGAUGUAUGAGUUUCUCACCCAUUGAGAAUCACUAUUUACAAUGAUUUUUCUCUAGUCCAAUCUGCAUUUUAAUCAACUGAAUUUUAGAUGUGGCUUAGGUUCUAACUGUUGCAUCCAUUUUAAACAUGUUUCUUGUGUUCUUUAAAUCACCUUUCACCGUGUGACAGUUUUCCCAUUCCAGCCAAUUUGAACUAAGCUUUUCAAGGAAAAAUUGGUAAAAUCUACACUACUCUUACUGCCUGCGUGUAAUGUCCAUUUUUUUCUGGACUCACAGUCUAACCUGGAUGAAUGCACUUACUGGAACUACACAUUCAAAAUCCAAGCUUCUCUGGAAAGUCAAUUUGUCAUAAAUAUAGGAGAGAUCAAUGAAUACUAAGCCAGAUUUUGUGAGAAACAUCCAACUCUGGAGCCCCUGCCUUCUGUGAAAACAAAAAUACUUUCACAAAAAGAAUAUUUUCUCAUGUCAAAUCUCAGUUUUAUUUACUUGAUUUAGAAUAAAAAUUAAGAUAGGAAACAAGAGGAACUUGUUUUAGAAUAAUCUGUUUGCAAAGCAAGAUUUGUCUUAAUAGGUACAAACAUAGCACAAUUCUAAGAUUCUAUAGAUGAUUUCCAAACUCAAUCAUCUUACCAGUAAAGACCUAGAAGACUGUUAAGUUUUAGUAGUGAGGAUAUUCUAGACAAUCAAUUUAGUAAGGCAAUACACAAAUUAUCUAAAAAGUAGAUAAAAGUAUUCUAAUUCAUUGCAAAAUUAUUUAUCUUUGUUUUCUGGUUUUUAAAGCUAUUUUGCACUUCUCAACUGCUAUUUCAUUUAAAUAUAUUCAUUUGAUUUUCUUAGUGAAAAAGAUAUUCUUAAAUAAGGUAAUUAGGCUAUCCAUUCAACAUAUUUAAUUUCCUUCUUAUAAAAAGAGAGUUUUUUAAUGUUUGCCUCCCCUUCAUUAUUUCACAGUUAUUUUAAAACAAUUUUUCAUCUCUUUAACUACUUUUGGCUAAAAAAAAAGAAAACAUAUUCAUCUUCAUUUAUGUUCCAUUUCAAGUCAGAGCCCUCCUUCUUGAGUCUGCUAAUAGCUCANCUCAAAGGAAGUCCAGCUAUUAUCCUUGGGGUAAAAUAUAGGUGUACAAACACAGUUCACAUAAAACAGAAUUACCUGUAGGAAAUGACUGUUCUAAUACCAGCAAUAAACAACUCAAUUUCAAGUCUGUCCAGUCUUCAAAUGCUUAUAACAUUAUAACAAAUCUCUACAAAUGGCCAUAUGGUCAAGAUCUGGGCCUCUCUGAGAAAAGGCCAUGCUGCUCUUCUCAUUUGCCCCAUUUUCCCUGAACUUGAGCAUGUGUUCAGGUGGGCAAACUCCUAUCUAGUUCUGUUCCUGAUAUCCCAUGUUCACUCCUCAGUGCUCCACAGUCUCUCUCACCUGUUCCUCCUCUGGUCACUCACCAACGACAGUCUCAGUUGACCCAGAGGAUCAUGCAAGAGCUGCCCCUGCAACUUGGGAUGUCUCCUUAGUUAACAGGCACUGCCUCUGGGGAAGCCUGUGCUUGGUAACAGCCCCCUAUCUCAUCACAGGGCUGGACAAAGAGCUGGGCUGACGCAGCCAAAGUGCCUUACCCUGCCAUCAUUGCUCUGGUUUGGGCACAUGCAGGAAUCCUAGCAAGGAAACUUUUCUUCCUUCUCUGGUUUCCUAACAAAAGGAUAUAAGUCCUUAACUCUGUAGCUUUGUUUCCUGACACAUUUAAACCAAAAGGAAAUGAAAAAGAGCAGAUGUUGGAGAUCAGGGAAUAAUCUUGUAGAUCUCACCUAUGAUCCAGUUUCCCUAGAGGAUGGUCCCAUUCCUUCUGCUGGGGGAAAAAAAGAUAAUAAAUCCCCCCUUUUUAGAUUAAAGAUUAAAUAGGAUGCAGUUGGAUGUGCAUCUCUUACAACUGAAAUAAUCUUGACUAAAAUAAAAAGGGUGAGAUCUGGGAACACAGUUGAGUAGAAGCCUUAGGCACACUGUCAUGUGGGACCAACUGGAGAUUUACACUUUUGGCCACUUGGGGAGUUGGUGGUAAUGACUAGAGAGGAAAAGACAGUGAAAGGACGAGAGAGGGAAAGUCCAAAACUUGGGAUGAUGUUGUAAAUGAAAGUAGGUCAAGUAAUUUCCAGAGCUCUACAAAUCAGAGAAACUACUGAGGACCGAGAUAAAUAAGAGAUAUGUGACAGCAGGUAUCUCAGGUUUGCUCUUUGGGAACUGGGUUUCCAUGCAAAUGACUUGGCACAGGAAGUUGAGGCAUGAGUAAUCAGGAGUUGGUAUACCAGAACCAUAGUAGGCUCAAACAAAUGACCAACCAAUACAGAUCCCUUUAGCCAUUAUAGUUACUCUCCCUAGGGGAGUGAUUGCCCCCCAAAUCUGGGCUGGAAUGAAACAAGUAGCAAGUACAGGUAUCUGUAGCUUCCAUCAUUCUCUUCCCACCAGCACCACUUUAACUGUCAAUCUCUUUCUGCAGGCUUGACUCUAAGUCAUAACCCUGACUGUAAUUUUUGCCACUUCUUAACAGAUAUGAGCUUCUUUCUUCCCAGUCAAUUCCCAGUUUCCAAAUAGGUCAGGUUCCAAAUAUUUGUUUGUGUGAGCUGGAAAAGUAAUUAUUCAAAAUGUAUGUGAGCUUAGUGGGUUUUUGAAGGCUGGUCUGGAAACCCAUCUGCAAAAUAAAUUGAUGCUAG
rnacentral:lncRNA from 1 species